CCUACGGGAGGCAGCAGUGAGGAAUAUUGGGCAAUGCCCGAAAGGGUGACCCAGCAACGCCGCGUGGAGGAUGAAGGUCUUCGGAUCGUAAAGCCCUUUUCCAGAGGAAGAGGAAGGACAGUACUCUGGGAAUAAGUCUCGGCUAACUACGUGCCAGCAGCCGCGGUAAAACGUAGGAGGCUAGCGUUAUCCGGAUUUAUUGGGCGUAAAGCGCGUGCAGGCGGUGCCUUAAGUUGGAUGUGAAAUCUCCUGGCCUAACUGGGAGGGGUCAUUCAAGACUGAGGCGCUUGAGGGCAGAAGAGGGAAAUGGAAUUCCCGGUGUAGCGGUAAAAUGCGUAGAUAUCGGGAGGAACACCAGUGGCGAAGGCGGUUCCCCGGCCUGUUCCUGACGCUGAGACGCGAAAGCUAGGGGAGCGAACGGGAUUAGAUCCCCCUGUAGU
rnacentral:rRNA from 1 species